GGAUUUGCCCACUGCGCUGUCUCCCAGGCAGAUGAUCUUCACGUUGUCAUCAGCAUCAUACUUCCCUUGGUCCAACUCACUCGGUUUGGUUUUGUCUUCUGCCAUUGGCUCCUAGCUGUAGAGAGGGGUCCAGCCCAAGGGAGGGGAGGGUAUUGUCACUGUCUGGGAAGAUCAACAAGAGGCUGUUGUCAGAGAUAAGUCCCCUCAACCAAAUCUCCAGCUGUACCUCCAUCCAGACUGCUUCCCUCAGUGCCAGACUGAGAUAUGGUAUGCAAUUGACUACUAGCCUUGGAGUAGCAGAGUAUGACACACAGGCAUCAAUAAUAUGUUAUACACAAAUAGUUAAGUCCUGCGCACCCCAAAUGCUGCUCCUCACGUUACCCAUUUGCACAAGACAUUCGCCAGGCAUCCAGUGCCAAAGGCUGUGUGCAACAUUAUGUCUAGCUCUGUUUUACUCUCCUCACACCUAAAUAUGACUUUGUAAACAUUCCUGAGAAUGUAACCACAGUCCAGACUCUUAGCUAGGGGGGCACAUAGAAAUGAUAUGAUGACGAGAUAGCAGCAAUAGGUGAGCCUUACUGGGCAUUCACCAUGAGCAGACCUUGCACAGGGUUCAGAGGAUGGAAGACACAAUGAUAGCAGAGUCUACUGUGGUGAGAGCUACGACAGAAGUAUGCACACGGGUCAGGGGUAGAAAAUACCAACAGGGCCCCCGAGUUUUCCUGACUGCGCCACCACACAGCUACUGCUUCCGCACAGCCAGGGACUUCGCCUUGUUUAUCCAGGGAGACAAUUCCUGGGAAGUGGCAGAUGCCUGGAAAGCAUGAUGAGGGGUCUGCCCCCUUUCACCUGUACCCUGUAGAGAGAGCGACAGAAAGCCAAAUCCAGCUUCAUGGCUCCAUGCUUGAAGACGUUCUUUCUUUUGUUUAGAGAUAGGGUCUCACUCUGUCGCCCAGGCUGGAGUGCAGUGGCGCGAUGACGGCUCACUGCAGCCUCCAACUCCUGGACUCAAGCGAUCCUCCCUCCUCGGCAUCCCUGGACUAUAGGCGUGAGCCACUGCUUACGGGCGAAGACUUGCUUGUCGGUAUCCUCGCCAUCUAAGUGGGGAGGCCUCGGAGGGGCUGUCCCCGCGUGCUAAGCCAGCCACCGGGGCGGAUUUGCCCUCACGUGCGGUUCCGAGUGAGGGCUGGAGAGACCAGGGACGCUGCGGGUCGGCCCCUCGGGCCCUGCCGCCCGUCUGGACUCUGCGCGCUGUCGAACCACGCCCGCCGGCCCAGCUCGCGCCGCAGCGCACUCCACUUCCGG
rnacentral:lncRNA from 1 species